CUCAUGGGUGGCCGCUGCCUGACUUACUAGAUGGCUAGGUUGGUGGCGUACCAGUAGCAGUAACAGUCGUGGUGUAGUAAUAAAUGUGAUAGUAGUAGUAGUAGUAGUAGUAGUGCUAGUAGUAAUAGUAGUAGUAGUAAGUAGUAAGUAGUAAGUAGUAAGUAGUAAGUAGUAAGUAGUAAGUAGUAGUAGUAAUAGUUAUAUGAUGGAGCAGUCAUUAUGAUGGGUAAUAUAAAGGGUCAAUAACAAAGUUGAGUAAUAAGAUGUCAAGAGUAUAAAUGUAAUGCAGAAGGAUUUAUAGAGUGGCAAUAAUGGUGACAUGAUAUUUCAUAAAGGAUAUAA